rnacentral:rRNA from 1 species
AUUUGGAGCUAAUUACCCUUAAGGCACCAAAUCCGUUCUGAUCCUGGAAGCUAAGCAUGGUCAGCCUUGGUUAGUACUUGGAUGGGAGACAGCUAACAAAUACCAAAUGCUGUUGUUU